rnacentral:rRNA from 1 species
ACGAUGAUGCCCAGCUUGCUGGGCGGAUUAGUGGCGAACGGGUGAGUAAUACGUGAGUAACCUGCCCUUGACUCUGGGAUAAGCCUGGGAAACUGGGUCUAAUACUGGAUACUACUUCCUGCCGCAUGGUGGGUGGUGGAAAGGGUUUUACUGGUUUUGGAUGGGCUCACGGCCUAUCAGCUUGUUGGUGGGGUAAUGGCUCACCAAGGCGACGACGGGUAGCCGGCCUGAGAGGGUGACCGGCCACACUGGGACUGAGACACGGCCCAGACUCCUACGGGAGGCAGCAGUGGGGAAUAUUGCACAAUGGGCGGAAGCCUGAUGCAGCGACGCCGCGUGAGGGAUGACGGCCUUCGGGUUGUAAACCUCUUUCAGUAGGGAAGAAGCGAGAGUGACGGUACCUGCAGAAGAAGCGCCGGCUAACUACGUGCCAGCAGCCGCGGUAAUAGGUAGGGCGCAAGC